AACCUGCCCUUGACUCCGGGAUAAGCCUGAGAAAUUGGGUCUAAUACUGGAUACGACCUUCCCGCGCAUGCGGUGUUGGUGGAAAGCUUUUGUGGUUUUGGAUGGACUCGCGGCCUAUCAGCUUGUUGGUGGGGUAAUGGCUUACCAAGGCGACGACGGGUAGCCGGCCUGAGAGGGUGACCGGCCACACUGGGACUGAGACACGGCCCAGACUCCUACGGGAGGCAGCAGUGGGGAAUAUUGCACAAUGGGCGAAAGCCUGAUGCAGCGACGCCGCGUGAGGGAUGAAGGCCUUCGGGUUGUAAACCUCUUUCAGUAGGGAAGAAGUUGGCCCUUUGUGGGGUUGGUGACGGUACCUGCAGAAGAAGCGCCGGCUAACUACGUGCCAGCAGCCGCGGUAAUACGUAGGGCGCAAGCGUUAUCCGGAAUUAUUGGGCGUAAAGAGCUCGUAGGCGGUUUGUCGCGUCUGUCGUGAAAGUCCGGGGCUUAACCCCGGAUCUGCGGUGGGUACGGGCAGACUAGAGUGCAGUAGGGGAGACUGGAAUUCCUGGUGUAGCGGUGAAAUGCGCAGAUAUCAGGAGGAACACCGAUGGCGAAGGCAGGUCUCUGGGCUGUAACUGACGCUGAGGAGCGAAAGCAUGGGGAGCGAACAGGAUUAGAUACCCUGGUAGUCCAUGCCGUAAACGUUGGGCACUAGGUGUGGGGGACAUUCCACGUUUUCCGCGCCGUAGCUAACGCAUUAAGUGCCCCGCCUGGGGAGUACGGCCGCAAGGCUAAAACUCAAAGGAAUUGACGGGGGCCCGCACAAGCGGCGGAGCAUGCGGAUUAAUUCGAUGCAACGCGAAGAACCUUACCAAGGCUUGACAUGAACCGGAAUGAUGCAGAGAUGUGUCAGCCACUUGGUGGCCGGUUUACAGGUGGUUGCAUGUUUGUCGUCAGCUCGUGUCGUGAGAUGUUGGGUUAAGUCCCGCAACGAGCGCAACCCUCGUUCCAUGUUGCCAGCGG
rnacentral:rRNA from 1 species